GGGGAUUUAGCUCAGUGGCAGAGCGCUUGCCUAGCAAGCGCAAGGCUCUGGGUUCGGUCCCCAGCUCCA
rnacentral:tRNA from 1 species